rnacentral:tRNA from 1 species
AAGAUUUUAAGUUAAAAAAACUUUAAAUUUUCAAAAUUUAAUAUGGCUUUAUUUAGUCAAAUCUUA